rfam:Triticum aestivum genome assembly, contig: Triticum_aestivum_CS42_TGACv1_scaffold_001829_1AL
GAACUACUCCCUCCGUUCCAUAUUAGUUGUCGCCUCAAACGGAUGUAUCUAGCACUGAAAUACAUCUAGAUACAUCCAUUUCAGAGACAACUAAUAUGGAACGGAGGGAGUACUAC